rnacentral:hammerhead_ribozyme from 1 species
AUCCAACUGAUGAGUCCCAAAUAGGACGAAACUCGCGUCCUGGAU